UACGUAGGGGCUAGCGUUAUCCGGAUUCAUUGGGUUUAAAGGGUGCGUAGGCGGGCUAUUAAGUCAGUGGUGAAAUCCUGCAGCUUAACUGCAGAACUGCCGUUGAUACUGAUAGUCUUGAGUUUGGUUAAGGUAGGCGGAAUGUGUAAUGUAGCGGUGAAAUGCUUAGAUAUUACACAGAACACCGAUUGCGAAGGCAGCACACUAAGUCAUUAUUGACGCUGAGGCACGAAAGUGUGGGGAUCAAACAGGAUUAGAUA
rnacentral:rRNA from 1 species